rnacentral:lncRNA from 1 species
AGGGAGCUCUCCUUUUUACCAAUCCCCACCAACGUAUGGGUUUCAAACACCGUCGCCAUUCCUGAUGUAAACACCUCCACAUACACUAUUAUUUGAAGGUGGAUCAUCGUCCCAAGUCUGACAACCAGAUGCAAACCUGGAAGAACCAGAAUCCCCACCGGAGGAACAACAACCGCCGCCGGAAGCUAGAGAAAGGAGGAAUCCAGCGCGUAACCAUCGACGGCCGCCAUAUGGCACUGAAUCCCC